rnacentral:rRNA from 1 species
AUUGAACGCUGGCGGCAUGCCUUACACAUGCAAGUCGAACGGCAGCACGGGAGCAAUCCUGGUGGCGAGUGGCGAACGGGUGAGUAAUAUAUCGGAACGUGCCCAGUCGUGGGGGAUAACGUAGCGAAAGCUACGCUAAUACCGCAUACGAUCUAUGGAUGAAAGCGGGGGAUCGCAAGACCUCGCGCGAUUGGAGCGGCCGAUAUCAGAUUAGGUAGUUGGUGAGGUAAAGGCUCACCAAGCCGACGAUCUGUAGCUGGUCUGAGAGGACGACCAGCCACACUGGGACUGAGACACGGCCCAGACUCCUACGGGAGGGCAGCAGUGGGGAAUUUUGGACAAUGGGCGCAAGCCUGAUCCAGCAAUGCCGCGUGCAGGAUGAAGGCCUUC